rnacentral:rRNA from 1 species
UUCCGUACACUCAUGGAUAGCCUUCCGAAAGAAAGAUUAAUACCUGAUAGUAUCUUAAGCACACAUGUAAUUAAGAUUAAAGAUUUAUCGGUGUACGAUGGGGAUGCGUUCCAUUAGGUAGUAGGCGGGGUAACGGCCCACCUAGCCAACGAUGGAUAGGGGUUCUGAGAGGAAGGUCCCCCACAUUGGAACUGAGACACGGUCCAAACCCCUACGGGAGGCAGCAGUGAGGAAUAUUGGUCAAUGGACGAGAGUCUGAACCAGCCAAGUAGCGUGAAGGAUGAAGGUCCUACGGAUUGUAAACUUCUUUUAUAAGGGAAUAAACCCUCCCACGUGUGGGAGCUUGUAUGUACCUUAUGAAUAAGCAUCGGCUAACUCCGUGCCAGCAGCCGCGGUAAUACGGAGGAUGCGAGCGUUAUCCGGAUUUAUUGGGUUUAAAGGGAGCGCAGACGGGUCGUUAAGUCAGCUGUGAAAGUUUGGGGCUCAACCUUAAAAUUGCAGUUGAUACUGGCGUCCUUGAGUGCGGUUGAGGUGUGCGGAAUUCGUGGUGUAGCGGUGAAAUGCUUAGAUAUCACGAAGAACUCCGAUUGCGAAGGCAGCACACUAAUCCGUAAUUGACGUUCAUGCUCGAAAGUGUGGGUAUCAAACAGGAUUAGAUACCCUGGUAGUCCACACG